rnacentral:lncRNA from 1 species
CACACUCACAGCCAAGCCAGACCCCAGAAUGGGAUGAAGAAACUGAGGCUCAAAGAGGCUUGGCCAAGACCACAGAGCCAGCACUCAAUGUCAUUCCCUCUACCAUGCAGCGGGCUCCCCUCUGCCAUCUCCAGCCGCCUGAAGCAGGGCCCAGCAUGAAUGAGACAGCUGGCAGAGUGAGAGCUGUGCUCACCACCUCAGC